rnacentral:rRNA from 1 species
CCCUUAGAUGUUCUGGGCCGCACGCGUGCUACACUGACCGGCGCAACAAGCUUUUUUCCUUGGCUCGACAGGCCUGGGUAAUCUUCGAACGCCGGUCGUGAUGGGGAUAGAUCCUUGCAAUUUUUGAUCUUCAACGAGGAAUUCCUAGUAAAUGCGAGUCAUCAUCUCGCGUUGAUUACGUCCCUGCCCUUUGUACACACCGCCCGUCGCACCUACCGAUUGAAUGGUCCGGUGAAGCCUCGGGAUUGUGGCUGGUUUCCUUUAUUGGAGGUCGGUCGCGAGAACUUGUCUAAACCUUAUCAUUUAGAGGAAGGUGAAGUCGUAACA